rnacentral:rRNA from 1 species
UCUAGCGAUCCGAUGGGGUAUUGUUGCCUUGUCGAGGAGCUUCCCGGAAACGAAAGUCUUUCGGUUCCGGGGUAGUAUGGUUGCAAAGCUGAAACUUAAAGAAAUUGACGGAAUGGCACCACCAGGAGUGGAGCCUGCGGCUUAAUUUGACUCAACACGGGAAAACUCACCCGGCCCGGACACCGUAAGGAUUGACAGAUUGAAAGCUCUUUCUCGAUUUGGUGGUUGGUGGUGCAUGGCCGUUCUUAGUUGGUGGAGCGAUUUGUCUGGUUUAUUCCGAUAACGAGCGAGACUCUAGCCUGCUAAAUAGUGACUAGAUUUUUAUGUCUAGUCUACUUCUUAGAGGGAUAAGCGGUGUUUAGCCGCACGAGAUUGAGCGAUAACAGGUCUGUGAUGCCCUUAGAUGUCCGGGGCUGCACGCGCGCUACAAUGGAAGAAUCAGCUGGCCUAUCCAUUGCCGAAAGGUAUUGGUAAACCGUUGAAACUCUUCCGUGACCGGGAUAGGGAAUUGUAACUAUUUCCCUUGAACGAGGAAUUCCUAGUAAGUGUGAGUCAUCAGCUCACGCUG